UACAGAGGUCCCAAGCGUUGUUCGGAUUCACUGGGCGUAAAGGGUGCGUAGGUGGUGAGGUAAGUCUGAUGUGAAAUCUCUGGGCUCACCCAGAAACUGCAUUGGAUACUAUCUCGCUAGAGGAGUGGAGGGGGGACUGGAAUACUUGGGUGUAGCAGUGAAAUGCGUAGAUAUCAAGUGGAACACCAGUGGCGAAGGCGAGUCCCUGGACACUUCCUGACACUGAGGCACGAAAGCUAGGGGGAGCAAACAGG
rnacentral:rRNA from 1 species